GCAGAACGCGAAGAACCUUACCAAGGCUUGACAUAUACCUGAAAAGGCUGGAAACAGUCUCCCCGCAAGGCAGGUAUACAGGUGGUGCAUGGUUGUCGUCAGCUCGUGUCGUGAGAUGUUGGGUUAAGUCCCGCAACGAGCGCAACCCUCGUUCUAUGUUGCCAGCACGUAAUGGUGGGAACUCAUAGGAGACUGCCGGGGUCAACUCGGAGGAAGGUGGGGAUGACGUCAAAUCAUCAUGCCCCUUAUGUCUUGGGCUUCACGCAUGCUACAAUGGCCGGUACAAAGGGCUGCAAUACCGCAAGGUGGAGCGAAUCCCAAAAAGCCGGUCUCAGUUCGGAUUGAGGUCUGCAACUCGACCUCAUGAAGUCGGAGUCGCUAGUAAUCGCAGAUCAGCAACGCUGCGGUGAAUACGUUCCCGGGUCUUGUACACACCG
rnacentral:rRNA from 1 species